CUAAAUCCUUUUACAUUUCUGUCUGUGCUCAUCCACGUCUUCGCGUCUUUGUGUGUUACCAGCGGCGCUCCUGGCUCGCACGCGCACGAUGCCGUUCCCUGUGACGCAGGAGGCGUGUCCUCACGCGUGGAGUGACUCUGCCAUAGUGACCCCGUUCCCCGGAAAGACAGUGCACCGUGACGAGUGUGCGUACUGCUGCCGGACAUGCCGUCAAGGCGACGGAGUCUAUGUAUGUAUGGCAUGCCACACAGGUCUGUGCUGCGAGCACCUGGAGAAGCACAUGAGGGUGCACGGGGCGCACGCCAUAUACACAACCGUCAAGAAACUCCCCGCAAAGGAAACGGAUGAGGUGAAGGAUGUGAAUUACCUUGGUGUAGUGGCCCCCGCGGAGUAUGAGACGGCGGUGUGCUGCGCGGAUUGCCAGGUGCGGUUUGCGCAAGUACCGGACCUGGCUGUCGAGGCGUACAGCGGCAUCAUCAACGCGCCGGAACCAGGCGCGCAGGAUAGCGCAGCUGAUGGCGGUGUGGGCCGCCUGCAGAAGCCGCAAUGCCCUCAUCUGGUGUGCCUCGAACAGCUGGCGAGCCCCUUUGCUGUUUGUCCGCCCACUUCCGACGACAUCUGCUCCGUGGAGAUGUGCGGAUGCAACGUGAACAACUGGAUGUGCGUCACGUGCGGUGCAAUCGGUUGCCCUCGUCCCGAAGCAGGCGGCCAGGGCCAUGCACUACAGCACUAUGAGCUGACAGGACACCCUGCGUGUGUCAAGCUUGGCACCAUCACCGCGGAGGGCGCCGACUACUAUUGCUACGCCUGCGACGAUGACGUUGAUGACGUACACUUCGCAGCCCACAUGGCACACUUUGGCAUUGACGUACAAACUGCCAAGAAGACUGCCAAGACGAUGGGCGAGCUCGAGUACGACUACUCCUCGCAGUUUGACUUCAACAAGAUCACGGAGGCCGGCGUGUCCUUGACGCCAUCCUACGGUCCAGGCCACACUGGCAUCGAGAAUAUUGGCAACAGCUGCUACCUCGCAUCCGUUGUGCAGUGCCUUAUGUCGCUGGGCCCGUUCCAGCGCUUCUUCUUUCCGGCCAAGUCGACCCCGCAUCAGGCACAGUGCACCGCGAAUCCGUACAACUGCCACCACUGCCAGACGGAGCGCGUGGCGGCCGGCUUGCUCUCCGGUGAGUUCAGCCGGGAAGGCCACGAGCUCACCAACGGCAUCUGCCCCCGCCUCUUCAAGAAGGUGUACGCCCACCAGCACCCUGAGUUCUCCACUGGCGCCCAGCAGGAUGCUCAGGAGUACCUGCUCUACCUGCUGGAAGAGAUGCAGCGGCACGUGCACCUCAACAGCAGCGGCAGCACCAGUGCCGACAAUGUGCAGCAGCAGAUUCACCCGUCUGAUAUCAUGGAGAUGGUGAUUGAGCAGCGUAUGCAGUGCAGCAAGUGCCAGCGAGUGCGCUACACGUAUGAGACGGACAAAUGCCUGUCCUUGCCGAUCCCGAUCGAUCCGGUGCCGGCCUCGUCUGUUGCAGCUGCUGCAAGCGAGGCGGAGAUGGACGCGAUACGGCCUCGGUGCUCGCUGGAGGACUGCCUGCAAGCAGCCACCUCGCCGAGCGGCAUCGAGUGCCGGUGCGAGGCAUGCCUUGAAUCGGCCGUGUACUACACCGUCACCCGCCUCGCCAGCUUCCCAGAUGUUCUGCCAGUGUACAUUCGCCGCACGUACUUCGACAUGACUACCCACAACACAAAGAAAAUGGAUGCAUAUGUGGAGGUGCCGCAGAAGCUCGUUCUGGAGGCUUACCGCGGCACUGGGCUGCAGCCGGGUGAGGUGCUGAUGCCUGCUUCGUCGGCCUCCUCUGCACGACAGCCUAGGCUAGAUGCCCACGUGGUCGCUCCGCAGCAGGAAGUAGAUGAGGUGGCACUGGUGUCGGUGGUUAGCAUGGGGAUCGAGAUGGACGUCGCGCGCUACGCCCUCUUACAGACGAACAUGAACGUUGAGCGCGCCAUCGACUACAUAUUCAGCCAUCCGCACAUCGCUGACGAGAUCAAGGCCGCGCCACCGCUGCACGCCGAGGAGCAGGAGCAGCAUUUGGCGCCAACCCAAAGCGCUACUUCAGUGAGCGCUCCAAAACCGGCUACCGAUGGGGCCGCCUCAUACGAGCUCACAGCGAUGAUCAGUCACAUGGGCGCGAGUGCACGGACGGGGCAUUACGUUUGCCACAUCAAGGAUGCCGCGACGGGCAAGUGGCUCCUAUUCAAUGAUGAAAAGGUGGGUGAGUCGCAGAACCCGCCCUUCUCCCUGGCGUCGCUGUACUUUUUCCAACGCCAGGCCUAAAAAAAUUUGACUCUCACGUCCUUCUCUUUUGCCUGCUCGACGAGUACAAUCCUCCAUGGGAACGUGCGUGGGUGACAUUAAUCUUCCCGAGUGUUGCGUCGGCGCGUGUGUGUGUGUGUGCACGGCAAGAGAGCUUGUUCCCAGACAUCGCGCGAUGCUCUCGAUUACAGCCUCCCCGCUGUCACUCUGUGUCGCUGCUCCUCCCUUUCGUCCAUCAUGUGGUGCUUCGUGCCUCUCACGUUUCUUGUUGUUUUCCUUCUGUUUUGGUGCAUUUUCUCUAAUUGUUGUGGCUUCGUUUUCGUCGUCUGCGCCUCCGCGCGUUUUCCAGGCUCAGCAGAGAGUCUCCGCCAUCUAUUGUCUCCCUUCUUUCCCCUUCAUCGGGGGAAGAAAAUGACAUCCAUAUCUUCGUCACUAGCAGAGCCACCGAAAACGCGCUAGCGUCGGCAGAGAUGACUCGGGAGAACAGGCGCGGACUCAGCGCCAGAGCCGAUGAGUUUCGCGAGUGACGCCGCCACCUCUUUUGCGCCUCUCUCACCUCUAUUUGUACUGAAGUAUCUACCUCCGGUGUGAAGACCAC
rnacentral:misc_RNA from 1 species